rfam:Colletotrichum chlorophyti strain NTL11 CCHL11_scaffold88, whole genome shotgun sequence.
GGCGAAGUGCUAGAGUGGUUAAUAGGUAUGCCUCGAAAGCAUAUGGCUUCGGCCGCGCAAGUUCGAAUCUUGUCUUCGUCG